GAGGGGAUCCAGGUGUUUGCUCAGUGCACAGGUGCACUUCCCAUCCUCUGAAGAACUUAGGCGAGCGAAGUGAUAAGAGAUCAAAAUGCGUUCUGGAGAAUGUACAGUGUUAGCUUUAGAAACUGAUUUUAGAGUAUUUGACUUUUGCUUUGUUUGUUUGUUUCCUGGCUGUUGACUCAAGCCCUAGUUCAAAAUCCACCUUCUGAUUCAUACGAUGUUAUAGUGGCGCCAAAGAUCAUUUUGUUAAGAUCUGCCAAAUAAACCAAAAAUGAUGAAGAAGGAGAAGGAGAAGAAGAGGUUGAUGUGUGUAGAUCCAUCAGAGUCACCCAAUAAGAGAAGUUUUGAAAUCAGUUUCUCAGCCAUGCAGUUGAUUGUGCUACAGAUGCAGAAACCUACAGACUCAUCGGUGUGUCCUGAGAGCAGUUUUAUAGUAUGCAGAGAAAAUAGAAGAGAAGAAAAUGUGAGACAGUAACCUAACGCCAACUCAUAGCAAUUUAUCAGAAUCAUUGCCCAUCAUUUAGCUUGGUGGAACUCUGUGGCCAGAGAGGCUGCCUGUGUUACUGUGGGUACUCAAACCUCAUUACUACAUCAACAGUAUAUGAUGGCAGCUUUCUUCCUUCAAGUGGACAUUUACAAUUCUCUUCAAAAAGAUAGAAAAAAAAAGUAUCAGAAAAUCUCCACAAGAACAAGAUGAUUUCAUAAAAAUUGAUUUCUAUAUUUGAACACUUCUUUUCUUGAAAUAUUAGCAACUCCUCAGGUCAGAGUCUUAGAGCUUAGACAUAGUAAAGCUUAGAAUACAGUUAAAGGAGCAAAAAUUAGUCCUAUACAGC